rnacentral:rRNA from 1 species
GACGAACGCUGGCGGCGUGCUUAACACAUGCAAGUCGAACGGAAAGGCCCUGCUUUUGUGGGGUGCUCGAGUGGCGAACGGGUGAGUAACACGUGAGUAACCUGCCCUCGACUUUGGGAUAACUUCAGGAAACUGGGGCUAAUACCGGAUAGGAGCUCCUGCUGCAUGGUGGGGGUGGGAAAGUUUGGGCGGUUGGGGAUGGACUCGCGGCUUAUCAGCUUGUUGGUGGGGUAGUGGCUUACCAAGGCUUUGACGGGUAGCCGGCCUGAGAGGGUGACCGGCCACAUUGGGACUGAGAUACGGCCCAGACUCCUACGGGAGGCAGCAGUGGGGAAUAUUGCACAAUGGGCGGAAGCCUGAUGCAGCAACGCCGCGUGCGGGAUGACGGCCUUCGGGUUGUAAACCGCUUUCGCCUGUGACGAAGCGUGAGUGACGGUAAUGGGUAAAGAAGCACCGGCUAACUACGUG